rnacentral:tRNA from 1 species
GGAAGGGUGCAGGAGUGGUUAAACUGGCAGGUCUCGAAAACCUUGCAGGCCGAAAGGCCUACGCGAGUUCGAAUCUCGCCCCUUCCGCCA